rnacentral:rRNA from 1 species
CAGCAGCCGCGGGAAAACGAAGGGGGCUAGCGUUGUUCGGAUUUACUGGGCGUAAAGCGCACGUAGGCGGACUUUUAAGUCAGGGGUGAAAUCCCGGGGCUCAACCCCGGAACUGCCUUUGAUACUGGAAGUCUUGAGUAUGGUAGAGGUGAGUGGAAUUCCGAGUGUAGAGGUGAAAUUCGUAGAUAUUCGGAGGAACACCAGUGGCGAAGGCGGCUCACUGGACCAUUACUGACGCUGAGGUGCGAAAGCGUGGGGAGCAAACAGGAUUAGAUACCCGUGUAGUCCCUGUCUCUUAUAU